GACGGAGGAUGCAAGUGUUAUCCGGAAUCACUGGGCGUAAAGCGUCUGUAGGUGGUUUAAUAAGUCAACUGUUAAAUCUUGAGGCUCAACCUCAAAAUCGCAGUCGAAACUAUUAGGCUAGAGUAUAGUAGGGGUAAAGGGAAUUUCCAGUGGAGCGGUGAAAUGCGUAGAUAUCUGGAGGAACAUCGGUGGCGAAGGCGGCAUCCUGGACCGGUAUUGACGCUGAGGCGAGCAAGGCAGGGAGACAAGGCGGU
rnacentral:rRNA from 1 species